UCUCAUAGGGGUGCCUUACUUUACAGGCUGAGAUUAUACCCGUUUUUUCUGUAAGUGCAGAAAAAUAAACCUGAUCCAGAUAAUGCUGGCGUAGGUAAAAUAAAAAUUAAGUUA
rnacentral:ncRNA from 29 species